GAUGAACGCUGGCGGCGUGCCUAAUACAUGCAAGUCGAGCGAACGGACGCGAAGCUUGCUUUUCUGAUGUUAGCGGCGGACGGGUGAGUAACACGUGUAUAACCUACCUAUAAGACGGGUAUAACUUCGGGAAACCGGAGCUAAUACCGGAUAAUAUUUUGAACCGCAUGGUUCAAAAGUGAAAGACGGUCUUGCUGUCACUUCUAGAUGGAUCCGCGCUGCAUUAGCUAGUUGGUACGGUAACGGCUUACCAAGGCAACGAUGCGUAGCCGACCUGAGAGGGUGAUAGGCCACACGGGAACUGAGACACGGACCAGACUCCUAAGGGAGGCAGCAGUAGGGAAUCUUCCGCAAUGGGCGAAAGCCUGACGGAGCAACGCCGCGUGAGUGAUGAAGGUCUUCGGAUCGUAAAACUCUGUUAUUAGGGAAGAACAUAUGUGUAAGUAACUGUGCACAUCUUGACGGUACCUAAUAAGAAAGCCACGGCUAACUACGUG
rnacentral:rRNA from 1 species